UCUCAGAGUUCGCCUCGAUGCCUCACUUCAUCACCAUAAAAUCAAGAAACUUUCUCGACGUGAUGCCAAAGGCGCACUUAGUUGAAUUUAGUUUCAUCCGAUGUCUCCUCAGAGCGUCAAAAGUUUCUGCCAGAUCAUCGAUAUGGAGAGCAACUUUCUUGCUCUUCAUGAGCAUGUCGUCGACGUAGACCUUCAUGUUACGAUUGAUCUAGUUCU
rnacentral:lncRNA from 1 species